GAUAAAAAUUGGUGUGUGUCUGUAGUCGCAGGUACUCGGGAGGCUGAGACAGGAGGAUUGCUUGAGUCCAGGAGCUCUGGGCUGCCUAUCAGGAGUCUGUACUAAGUUCAGCAUCAAUAUGGGGACCUCCCCGGAGCGGGGGACCACCAGGGUGCCUAAGGAGGAGUGAAUGGGUCCAGAUGGGAAAUGGAGCAGGUCAAAAAUCCCGUGCUGAUCAGUAGUGGGAUCAUGCCUGUGAAUAGCCACUGCAGUCCAGCUUGGGCAAUACACAGAGACCCCGUCUCU
rnacentral:SRP_RNA from 1 species